CAAUCAGCGGGAUGGUCCUGUCGUCCCGGUGGAUCUCCAGCCGGCCGGGGACCAGCUUCUGCCCGUGGCCCCUGCCGCGAGCCUGCGACGCGGACGACGACGGCGUCGACGCGGGCUUGCUGUCCUGCCACAGAUGGAGCCAAAUUACUACAAUGACUCUGAAUUUUAAAAUAAUAAUGAAAAAGCAACCAUUGAGCUGUGGAAAACGCCUGGGUGGACCUAGCCCCGCCUUCAAGGAUGAAGCUCCUCCUCUGAGCUGCAGUUUACAAGCUUCCGAGCUUCCACUUGCCCCACUCUCAGCUCCUUCAGACUCUCCAGCAGCAAUUAGCAAACGCCUGGUGGAAACUGCACGUCAUUGUAUAAACAUUGACUUUAGUCCAAUCCCUGUUUCUUUGCAGCUGAAACCAGGAAUGUCGAGGUUUGUCUCCCUCCACGUUGACAGAAGUCUCUGGAAACUCCCCCACUGAAGCAUCCUCACACCUCCCCACACACACUCGUCCUGUCAUCCCCUUGGCCAGUAAGGAAGCCUCCGUGGCCAGGUCCGGAGGAGAGAAAUGAGGCCGCACUGCACAGCGUCCAGAGUUCCCAACAAAGCUGCCAGCGCUGGACGCCUCACUGCAACUGCUGUGCGCUUUUCCUCUUCGCCUUGUCGGCGCGUGUUGAGACUUUCUCCUGCUUUGGGGUGUCACUGUCUUCCCCAAAGACCACAGCAGAGCUGCGAGAGGCGCAGGCCUGUCCAUACGGAUGAAGACGAAUGUCUGCCAGCCUUGGGGCCAGAUGUGGCUCUGACCCCCUCACGCUUCUUCCUCUUUGUACGCGCACACAAGACGGAUUCGGGGCAGAUCUCGUCAGCUGACGGUCUCUCUGUGACAGGACCGAGAAUAGAUGUUCUCAUCGUCGGCGCAGUGAGAUUCACCUCCGAGCUACGGAGAUAAAAGGUGCCUGAAGCCUGCUAGACUUUUUUUUUCAAAUGUUGUUUUUUUUUAUCUACAAAGGUUAUUUUCAUGCCUAUGAUUAAAUGAACAAUGACAAGAACAUGCUCGUGAGGAACAGAGGGCAGCGCACUGCGAACCGGUUCCCACCCCUUGAGCCUUUCUCUAUUUGUCACGCUGCAGAAUAAAAUGUCAAAGUAUUUCAUUGGGAUUUAAUUGGAGAAGCAACCAAGAGAUCCAUGGCAACUCUGGAGGAGCUGCAACGCCAAAUCCAAUCAGAUUUCUACUUACAAUCGUGAAUUUUCUUUUCCCAUCUGCUCUGGAAAUUGAUGCACUUCUUUCGAGAAAAAUGAACAUUGUUCUUUUAUUCUAUGAAAUACUGACAACAUGUCUCCGACAUUCCAAACAAAAAUUUAGUACUUAUUUGCAGAAAGUGAGAAAUGGUCAAAAUAAAGAAACAGAUGCAGUGCUUUCAGACCUCAAAUAAUGCAAAAAAAAACAAGUUCAUAUUCAUUUAGAAACCACAAUACUGAUGUUUUAACCUGGGAAGAGUUCAGGAAUCCAUAUUUGAUGGAAUAUCCAGGAGGUUUUCAAUGGUGCAGUGGGCUCUUCACCUUUUCCAGAGCUGUAUACACUUUUAUUUUUAUGUCUUGAUUGAAGAUGAAUAGUUUACCUUUCUAUGCCCUUAUGGAAGUCCAGGGCGGUGGCCAACAUAUUUUAGGAAUGGGCCACGCCCCCCUCCCCCGGCCCUCCUCUUGGGGUCGCCACUGAUUUGUGAUUGUAAAGACAUAAAACAUGGCUUGUUGAAAUAUAUCACCACCUACAAAAACAGAUUAAAAUAAACAUUAAGUCAUUUUUGAACAGGACACAGCUGGGGAUUUCAUUUCUUCUUUUUUUUUUACAGUCAAUGAUUUCAUUUUACUCCACGUUUCUUUCCCCCUGCUGCCUCUGGAUCAUGUUUCUUCUUCUUUGCGCCUGUGACGAUGAGAACUUGGCCCUCCUGACCCGUGAUGCUGUGGCGGUGGGCCCAGCUGUGGGGAAGCUUCUCACACAGUGUUUUUGCUCUUAGCUGGGUUUGGAUGAGCUCACACUGUUAACAUGUUUCUUGUUGCAGACGGAGAAAGAGGGGGGGGGGGGGAGAUAGCGGGAUGAGAAACUGCAGCUUUCUCGGUUCUGCCAUGACCCCGGGGCGUUAUCACGCUUCUUCUGUUGUCUCUACUGGUGAGCAGGUUCACAUUUAAAGGUGGGGAGACUUUUUUUUUCUUCAUUCUUUCUUUUUUUAAAGACAGACUAUUUCAGAGGUUGUAGUUCAAAAUAAACUAACGGGUUAACGGUUCUCUUUUUUUUUUUUUCUUGUCAUUUUAGUCACUGUUUAAUUUUCGCAGAGAGCUGGAAGCUGCUAAUUAAAACGCAUAAUUUAAAACGCACAAGCGGGAUAAUGAGGAGCAACACGUCCACGGAAGGAAAGGCGCAGAUUAUAUUUAGAUUCUGGGCUGCCGGAUUAACGGCUCGCGACCAGGAUGAGGGCUUUUGUCUUGCUUGUCCCCCAGAUAAUUUGGUGUUUAUUUGAGAAAAAAAAUGACAUAAUUGAAAUAAGAUUCAGUGGAUCUGCCUGUAAAUUAAAGGAAAGGUGAAGUUAAAAUCUUCCUCUCCCAGCACAGUUUCUCUGGUUUCCCAGCCUGGCUCCUCAAGGCACACCGGCCUGCAUGCUUCAGAUGUUUCCCUGCUUUAAGCACACCUGAUUCCAGCUGAUGGCUGAUUAACGGGCUUUUGCUGAAGUGCAAUCAUGUGAAUCAGGCGUGUUAAAGCAGGGAAACACCUGAAACAUGCUGAGCGCCAGGGUUGAGAAACAGAUGCUCUCCGAUGCUCCACAUUUAGGUCUGAAGACUGAGAGGUUCGUCUGUGUUGAUUUAGCGAUAUGUUAUCCUGUUGAAAACCUCAUCAGAGGUCACUUAAAAUGUCAUUUUAUUACAAGUUAACGAUGCCGUGCUCUCUAACGGUUCUCUGACGCUUCAAGAAACUCCUUUUUCUGAAAGCCUGCCCUCAGGAGGUCGCCACAACGUCUUCAACGAAGUUUCCACCAGCGCUGACCUGAGAAGCAGCUCCUGCAAUGAGCUCUGCAGAUGCGCCACCAGGCGUUUGCUGAUUGCUGCCGGCUAGUCUGAAGGAGCCGAGUGGCGGAAGCUUGUAAACUGCAGCUCAGAGGAGGAGCUUCAUCCUUGAAGGCGGGGCUAGGUCCACCCAGGCGUUUUCCACAGCUCAAUGGUUGCUAUGAGAGAUUCAAGGAUUUCUCAAACAUGCAUGAAAGAAUCAAAGCAACACUCCAGGUAUGUUUUUGAUGAGGGAAUAACGUUACAACAUGAUGUCAAGCU